AUGAUUCGUGGGACGUCCUGCCGGUGGUGGCGAGUCGAAAGCGUGCUCCCGGUGUGGCUUGUCCACGUCGGUUCUUGCGCACCUAAGCGGACCCCGAUGAAAUCCUACCGCGGUGCUCUUCGCCGAGUGUCGAGGUGGGCCGGCACGUUUACUUUUAAUAUUUUUAAGUGCUUACCGAGGCCUGUUGCGCCUGAAUACUGUGUGCAUGGAAUAAUGGAAUAGGACCUCGGUUCUAUUUUGUUGGUUUUCGGAACCCGAGGUAAUGAUUAAUAGGGACAGGCGGGGGCAUUCGUAUUGCGACGUUAGAGGUGAAAUUCUUGGAUCGUCGCAAGACGGACCGAAGCGAAAGCAUUUGCCAAGUAUGUUUUCAUUAAUCAAGAACGAAAGUUAGAGGUUCGAAGGCGAUCAGAUACCGCCCUAGUUCUAACCAUAAACGAUGCCAGCUAGCGAUCCGCCGAAGUUCCUCCGAUGGCUCGGCGGGCAGCUCCCGGGAAACCAAAGCUUUUGGGUUCCGGGGGAAGUAUGGUUGCAAGCUGAACUUAAAGGAAUUGACGGAAGG
rnacentral:rRNA from 1 species